AGCAAUACGAUGGAAAGUCUAGUGGCGAACGGGUGCUUAACACGUGGGCAACCUGCCAGGAAGUGGGGGAUAGCUCGCCGAAAGGCGAAUUAAUACCGCAUGUGAUUAGAGAGGACAUCCUUUCGNGAUUAAAGUCGGGGCAACCUGACGCUUCUUGUGGGGCCCGCGGCCUAUCAGCUAGUUGGUGGGGUAACGGCUCACCAAGGCUUUGACGGGUAGCUGGUCUGAGAGGACGACCAGCCACACUGGGACUGAGACACGGCCCAGACACCUACGGGUGGCAGCAGUCGAGAAUUUUUGACAAUGGGGGAAACCCUGAUCGAGCGACGCCGCGUGGAGGAUGAAGGUCUUCGGAUUGUAAACUCCUGUCAUUGGGGAACAAGGUGCAUACGUUAACUGCGUGUGCAUUGAUAGUACCCGAAGAGGAAGAGACGGCUAACUCUGUGCCAGCAGCCGCGGUAAUACAGAGGUCUCAAGCGUUGUUCGGAUUCAUUGGGCGUAAAGGGUGCGUAGGCGGCGCGGUAAGUCGGGUGUGAAAUCUCGGAGCUUAACUCCGAAACUGCAUUCGAUACUGCCGUGCUUGAGGACUGGAGAGGAGACUGGAAUUUACGGUGUAGCGGUGAAAUGCGUAGAUAUCGUAAGGAA
rnacentral:rRNA from 1 species